AUUGAACGCUGGCGGCAGGCUUAACACAUGCAAGUCGAGCGGGGUAAUGGUGCUUGCACUAUCACUUAGCGGCGGACGGGUGAGUAAUGCUUAGGAAUCUGCCUAUUAGUGGGGGACAACAUCUCGAAAGGGAUGCUAAUACCGCAUACGUCCUACGGGAGAAAGCAGGGGAUCACUUGUGACCUUGCGCUAAUAGAUGAGCCUAAGUCGGAUUAGCUAGUUGGUGGGGUAAAGGCCUACCAAGGCGACGAUCUGUAGCGGGUCUGAGAGGAUGAUCCGCCACACUGGGACUGGGACACGGCCCAGACUCCUACGGGAGGCAGCAGUGGGGAAUAUUGGACAAUGGGGGGAACCCUGAUCCAGCCAUGCCGCGUGUGUGAAGAAGGCCUUAUGGUUGUAAAGCACUUUAAGCGAGGAGGAGGCUCUUUUGGUUAAUACCCAGAAUGAGUGGACGUUACUCGCAGAAUAAGCACCGGCUAACUCUGUGCCAGCCGCCGCCGUAAGAC
rnacentral:rRNA from 1 species